GGUCUCCAGCUGCCUAUCGGCCUGCCUCCGACUCCCGUGGUCAACCUGCGGUCAGAAAUUCCUCCCACGCCGCAUCCCCUCUCCACAAGGAACCGCAUCCCCUCUCCACGCCGCAUCCCCUCGGCGACGAUCUCCACGACGGCCUACGAGAUCGACUCCGGAUUCGCGCCUGAGUGACGGCGCGGCUUCGGCCAGUCACCUGCUCCGGUCCUGCCUCACCUGACCGAGUCGUGCUCGUGCGCGCCGACCAGUCGACGGACGACGACCGAGCCGCACUCGUGCGCAGCAGGUGGAGGAGGACUGGGUCGUCGCGGAACCCGGCUUCUACGACGCCCAGCCUCACAUCCGCCUCCUCAGCUCCGCCUCUCUCGCACUGCCUCCCGCACCGUCUCCCCUUGCAUCGCAGCCCCACCUCCCUCCGUCGUUCCUGGCCAUUGGCCUUCUUCUCCGACGCCGGAUACACUCGUGAAGAGGAAGGAGGACCCGCAGCGGCGUCCGUCCCACUGCCCUGCACCUCCCGUCCAGCCGGUGAGCGACGGCGCGCGCGAAUCCGCCUCUCCGACGCCAGCUACGCUCGUGAGGAGGGAGGAGGAGCCACAACUCGUGGAUCAAGGGGCAGCAGCGUCCGUCCCACCGCCCUGCACCUCUGGAGUCGAAGCGACAUCCGAGUGGAGGGGACGGCGUAGGCAGAGCAUCGUCCCAGAGGCAUAGCAGCGUCCGAGCAGAGGAGGCGGCAGAGGCAGAGCCGCUUCCCAGCUACGGACGCGAAGCAGCAACGACGACGUCAGCUAACCUGCCCCUGUCCUGCUGGUGCUCCUCUUAGUUCUGCAUCAUACUUUUCUUCUCCGUGGAACCCACCCUCGUGAGCUGCUGCCACCAGGCGGAGCUAGCCAUUGAAAUUUUGAGUAACCUCAUCAAAAAAGGCGCCAGGGUCAUCCUCUCAACUCAAGCCACUUGGCUCCUUCCUUUGAUUAGGACUAUCAGCAUAUCGAGAUCCUAGCAGCAACAGUUGAGGACACACUUAUCACAUCGGUGCCGCCUAGCUUAUAUCUUUCAUACACCAAAUCUGAUCCAUUUGAAGUUAAGACAUUUCUUAGCAUCCAGAAAAAAUUGAGAUAUUUCUUUCUUUUUAGGGCUUCAUGUUUUGCUAGAACAACUCCUCAAGGUUAGAAGUAUUGUGGAUAAUUUGGUUUUUGGCUUGAGAGCUUGAUUUGCACUUUCACAAGGUUUGCAGUUGUCUAUGAGGUAGGUGGUAGCAUGGAGUUGAAUUUCUCAGGAUGAAAGGGAAAAGGGUGACCAUAGAAAGGAAUAAAUAUUGUAGCAAACUCCCUUACUCAUAUGUGUAAUACUACAUUACAUUAUGUGAGCCUAUCUUUUAACUCAGUUCAUCUAUUAUUCUGUUUGUCCUCUGAGCGUUGUCUCUUCCUGAUGAUCUCCGGCUCAACAUUAAACUGAACUCCGUUUUGUCAUAGGAUUUGUAGGCAAAAUACUUAUGCAGCUUGAUUUUCAUCUAUAGCGCUUUAGAUUCAGGGAAUUUAUGAGAGGUCUGUUGAAUAUCUUUUGCUGCAUGGGUUGCAUAUGAAUAUUUUUCUUAAUGUGGUAGGUUGCAUUCAAGAAAAGUCAGAGACGUCCAAAUAUUGUCCAAUUCAUUGUUUAGUGUUUAUUAGCACUUGUGUUGAUGCCAUUUUAGAUUUCAAUUUUUUCCUACAUUUGAAUAAGGAUCUGGUAGAAUAAUUGCAAAUUGUCAUUUUUGAAGAACUCAAGAUACUUGAAAAGGACUUUUCUCACACAUCUUUGAUUCACAGUUUCCUUUUCUCAUGUCUUGAGUUCUUUUUUAAAUCAUAGAUCAUUUAAUCAAAUUUCUUUGUUGCAGACAGGCCACAGUUCAGUUUAGAUUUCUUGUUCCAUUGUUUAGGGUGCUAGGAAGAACUAGGGUGCCAUGUCUUUCUGAUUCCAUCGGUGAUCGGUACAUCAAUAUUUUUGCUAAGGUGAACCAUCAAGGUAAACAUGCCCCAUUCUCCUAUGCUUUAUCUCUUAAAUUUUAUACAUGUCUUGUAUAUAUUGAUUUUAAAAAAUGAGAAUGACCUAAUUAUGUAGCACUAUAUUGCCGUUAUUUUCUCCAAUUUCCUCCUUUUGUAAUCUGACCAAGUUGUUACGAUUUAAAUAUAUGAUUCAUUUAAUUGCUCUUAUUAUGGUUGGCGGUUGCACAAUAUGUGUGUUAGAUCAUCUCCGUCUCCCUAUGGAAGGCAGCCGAUGGCAGCAAGAGUGGAAUGUGUGUGAUGUCGCUACAUAUGUAUUUUGUUCCCGUAGCAACGCACGGGCACUUAACUAGUUUAUUUAUUAUGACUUGUUUUGUCAAUAAAAAUACUUUAACAAUGAUAUAUUUAUUUUAUUAUUUAAAAAGUUAAAAAUGAAAAGUUAGAAAUUAAAUAAAAUGAAACAUAUAUAUAUAUAUAUACAGAGAAGUAGCUAUAUAUCAAUUUUUAGGUUGUGGAGAUGAUGAAUUCUUGCAUGGCUGAAAGGACAAAGAUGAAAAGUGAAGAAGAAAAUAAUAAGAUUCUGCUGAAUGAGACUUGAGAGAGAAGAUUGCAAAAUCGCACGUGUUUAUUCAACAAUCCUUAUGUAUUGUCCACUUGUUGUUUAUAUGGUUACAACUUAGUUGGCUGUAAUUAUGAAGUAUGUAUGGACAUAGUACAAUUAUUGGUUAGUGUUCAUAUUGCCA